GUUUAUGUAAGCCUCGUUCUGAAUAUAAAACUAUGAAUUAUGAAUAAUUUUGUGCUGUUGAGUUUCGCUUCUGAGAAGAUGCUUGUUUCUGAGAUGAUCAUAGUAGGAAUUGUAUCUUACUUAUAGCUGCUAGUACCGUAGUCGUACUAAUAACUGGUCAGCAGGAACCACCUCAAAGAGGCAAAAUAGGCAGGGAAGAAGAGACGAAGAAGAAAACGAGUGACUUACAACAGACACAACAUUGGAAACUUCCUAAUCAAAGACAUUCCAAUAAGCUUGCCAAUUAAACAACGAGAAUUUCUUCCUCUCGCUCUUUCUCUCCAUCACACACACACACAUACAUAUAUUUCCGGGAUCCAAAGUAAUUUGCUAACGUGUUUAUAUUAUAUAUAUUUAAUGUGUUGAUUUUUUUUUCAAUCACUAUUGAAGUGAGGUGGAAAGUAACUCAAAAAACGAUUCUUCUCCACCAACGCAUAAAGAAAGAAAAAGUAGAAUCGAAAGAGUAGGGAUGACUGAAUGGUCAGUAUUUGGGUGAGAUCGUUCAUUAGAUUAUUAAACUGUUGACUUUUUCUUCUUCUUCUAUCCCUGUAUUCCUUUUCUUGGUCAUUCAUUUUUUUCAAGUCACUAUUUUGUGGUCAGCCCAGGUUAAAUAGUCUGGUGCUCUGUGAUAACUAGUGGAUGGAUGCAUGGAUACUUCACAGAUAGAUAUAUUAUAUUCUGGUUUGGCAUUAGAAUAUCACGGACUACUGAGACUGAAUUAAACUCUGGUGAGAGAACUGAGUUUUAUAUUUAAAGAACUUGCUGCGUUUAUAAGGAGAGAGAGAGAGAGAGAGAGAGAAGAGGAAAGAUAUCAAUCUAGAUAGAAUAUCAUAUAUACAUGAUAAACGCAUAUAUUUGAUCAAACAUAUAUAGUUCAUCUAUCUAUACAUACAUAUCUAGUUAAAGAGCGAGUAUUCCUUAGCAGUCCUGUCCUUUUUUUCUGUCUCUCCUCCUCUAUUAUCCCUGCUUCUCUUCUCUCGUUCUCUAACCCCCACCCUCUUUAUUCGUUCUGUGUCACAGUAUCUUCACUGUCCGUCAGUGAUGGUCCGGGAAUACAAUCGACCACUAUCUCUGGUUGUCAUGGCACUAUUUUAUUCAUUUAUCAUUUAUUGAGCAAAGAUGCUGCUGCUAACAAGGAAGAAGCUACGACCGAAUUAGGCGCAAGGGAAAGAGAAGGGGGAAAAAGAAAAAGAAGAAGAGGGAAGAAAACAACGUGAGUAGAGCAGAAAGUGAGUGGGAUAAAAAAAGAAAAACAAAAAAAAAGGACGAUAGGAAGAAAUAGAAGGAGAGAAAAAACGAGAGAAGGGGGGAGGAAAAAUAGUGAAUCAAAGAAGAAUGAAAGAGAUAAUAAUAAUUGUUAUAACAUUGUAAAAAGCAAGUCAUGAGAGCACCGUUAUCUUAUUUAAUGUUGAUUUAAGGCCGGGAAUCUAAACGUAUAAGAACACACACACACACAUUUAUAUAUAAUAUAAAUAUUAUUAUAUAUUUACACUGAGUGGAUUAUUUAGUGAGACAGGUGAGAGACGAAAAUUUUAACAAGAACAACAGCUACAACGUUGAGAAAAUCGCUUCUAAGAUUUGUAGCUUUCGAGUCUUUCGACUGUUGUAACUUGGAUAUAUAUAUAUAUAUAUAUAUAUAUAUAUAUAUAUAUAUAUAUAUAUAUAUAUAUAUAUGUAUAUUAUGGAGUAUUGAGUAUAUAGAAAUUUUUACUUAACGACGAAAAUCGGAGGCAUUUACCAACAAUUUGCAGAAAAAGAAAAAAAAAAUUGCAACUCGAGAUUUAUAGUUUCGAGCCUGCUGUGUAAACGUGCAAGAAAUCAAGGGUCGACACAAUUAAAUGUAGAGAAGGAAAUGAGAAAUAAAUCAUUGUAGGUAAGUAAAAUAGAAGUAGAUGGAGAUGAGACGAUGCGGUAUGAUACCUAUAAUUGAGUGUGUGUGUAUGUGUCUAUGUAUGAAUGUAUGUGUGUGCGUAACUACGUACACAUUUUUAAUGUUUAUAUACACAUACGUGUAAAUAUUUUGAAAUGUUAUUACAUAUUCACUCGUGCU
rnacentral:lncRNA from 1 species